rnacentral:rRNA from 1 species
AUUAUUAUGAUUAUAAUAUUGUUAGUAUAUAAAAAUUAUGAAAACAAAAAAUUAUGGCGGUACUUUAAGCUCUUCAGAGGAAUUUGCUCUAUAAUGGAUAAAACACCAAAAUCUUACUAGAAUUUGUAAAAUCAGUUUGUAUACCACUAUAAGAGUAAUAAAUAAUUUUUAUUACUAAAAUUUUAUAAAAUGUAUAAAAGUAAAUUAAGUCAUGGUGCAACAAAAAUUUUAGAUUGAAGUGAAUUACAUUUCUUUUAAGAAAUUAUAAUUUUUAAAAAAAAAAUUAGGAUUUGAAAGUAAAAUUUUAAUAGUAUGAAAAUUUGAAUAGAGUUCUGAAGUAUGUAC